rnacentral:rRNA from 1 species
CCCUUAGAUGUUCUGGGCCGCACGCGCGCUACACUGAAGGGAUCAGCGUGUUUUCCCUUUCCGAGAGGAACGGGUAACCCGCUGAACCCCCUUCGUGGUAGGGAUCGGAGCUUGCAAUUGUUCUCCGUGAACCAGGAAUUCCCAGUAAGCGCAAGUCAUAAGCUUGCGUUGAUUACGUCCCUGCCCUUUGUACACACCGCCCGUCGCACCUACCGAUUGAAUGGUUCGGUGAAGAUCUCGGACUUCGAUAUUUGUUCUUCAUUGAACUUAUAUAGUGGGAAGUUAUCUGAACCUCAUCAUUUAGAGGAAGGUGAAGUCGUAACA